UACGUAGGGUGCAAGCGUUGUCCGGAAUUAUUGGGCGUAAAGGGCUCGUAGGCGGUCCAUCACGUCGGGAGUGAAAAGCUGGGGCUUAACCCCAGUCCUGCUUCCGAUACGGGUGGACUAGAGGUAGGUAGGGGAGAUCGGAAUUCCUGGUGUAGCGGUGAAAUGCGCAGAUAUCAGGAGGAACACCGGUGGCGAAGGCGGAUCUCUGGGCCUUACCUGACGCUGAGGAGCGAAAGCAUGGGGAGCAAACAGG
rnacentral:rRNA from 1 species